rnacentral:misc_RNA from 1 species
UUUCCGUAGGUGAACCUGCGGAAGGAUCAUUAUUGAAUGAAACACUUCUGGCUUUAUGCUGUUGUGCUGGCCCUUUGGGCAAUGUGCAGACGGCUCUGGUCACUUGUUUCUUCUGUUCCACCUGUGCACUGGCUGUAGACACGCUGUGUCUAUGAUAUUUGUUAACAAACAACAAUGUUAGUUGGCAUGUUAUGUAUAAUAAGAAAAUAUACAACUUUCAACAACGGAUCUCUUGGCUCUC